CUACGUGCCAGCAGCCGCGGUAAUACGUAGGUGGCAAGCGUUGUCCGGAAUUAUUGGGCGUAAAGCGCGCGCAGGCGGAUUGGUCAGUCUGUCUUAAAAGUUCGGGGCUUAACCCUGUGAUGGGAUGGAAACUGCCAAUCUAGAGUAUCGGAGAGGAAAGUGGAAUUCCUAGUGUAGCGGUGAAAUGCGUAGAUAUUAGGAAGAACACCAGUGGCGAAGGCGACUUUCUGGACGAAAACUGACGCUGAGGCGCGAAAGCCAGGGGAGCGAACGGGAUUAGAUACCCCGGUAGUCCUGGCCGUAAACGAUGGGUACUAGGUGUAGGAGGUAUCGACCCCUUCUGUGCCGGAGUUAACGCAAUAAGUACCCCGCCUGGGGAGUACGACCGCAAGGUUGAAACUCAAAGGAAUUGACGGGGGCCCGCACAAGCGGUGGAGUAUGUGGUUUAAUUCGAAGCAACGCGAAGAACCUUACCAGGUCUUGACAUCCCUCUGACCGCUCUAGAGAUAGAGUUUUC
rnacentral:rRNA from 1 species